rnacentral:rRNA from 1 species
UACGGGGGGUGCGAGCGUUAAUCGGAAUUACUGGGCGUAAAGGGUGCGUAGGCGGUCUGAUAAGUUAUUUGAGAAAACCUAGGGCUUAACUUUGGGCGUUUGGAUAAGACUGUUGGACUGGAGUGAGGGAGAGGGUAGUGGAAUUCUCGGUGUAGCGGUGAAAUGCGUAGAUAUCGGGAGGAACACCGGUGGCGAAGGCGGCUACCUGGCCUAUUACUGACGCUGAGGCACGAGAGCAUGGGGAGCAAACAGG